rnacentral:rRNA from 1 species
AUGGUAGUGGUUCACGUUUCGAAGGUGAACUUGACUAAUACAAAACCCUUCAGGGUUGUCGUGGUACUAAGGGUCUUUGGACUUGACGGAUCCGAUGCCUCCGGGCGUAGUGCUACAAGUUCGUUUUCGGAGAGUGUCGUGGUACUUGGUGUCCCUGUAGUCGAACUUGCCGGUCUUGGCGUCCAACACAAAACAAUGCCAGGGGCCUCGGGAUGCCAGCAGCAAGGAGGCGAUGGUGGUGGUCAGCCGCACGAGAUGGUCGGCAGCUUGAGCGGAGGCAGACCAACAAGGCGCUGGCUAGGCCUUGCAGCAGAAGCAAACCACGCACGCGGUUGCGCGGGCGCUCGGUCAACGCUGGAGGCCAGCGAGGCAGAGGAGGUCGAACGGGCUGCCGGAGAGCAGAUGCAGGGGAGACAUGGCGGCGCAUGGUGGUGGCUGCGAGCUCCUGCGCAGGGAAAGGAGAGGGUAGCCUGGUGGUGGUGCUGGUUGCCGACAGGGGCGACUCCUGUCGAGGCCAGGAUUUACAGGGAGAAGAUGAACAUUAAUGGGGGAGUGAAAAAUGGCACUUGCCAAAAGAAAGAAAGAGAAGGAGAGGUGGUGAUGAGUGAAGGGGGGAAGAUGAUGCCAUGA